CGGGGUGUGGCGCAGCCCGGUAGCGCACUAGUCUGGGGGAUUAGUGGUCGCUGGUUCAAAUCCAGUCACCCCGACCA
rnacentral:tRNA from 1 species